rnacentral:rRNA from 1 species
CCUACGGGCGGCUGCAGUGGGGAAUAUUGCACAAUGGGCGCAAGCCUGAUGCAGCAACGCCGCGUGAGUGAUGAAGGCCUUCGGGUUGUAAAACUCUGUCCUAUGGGAAGAAACAAAUGACGGUACCAUGGGAGGAAGCCCCGGCUAACUACGUGCCAGCAGCCGCGGUAAUACGUAGGGGGCAAGCGUUAUCCGGAAUCACUGGGCGUAAAGGGUGCGUAGGUGGCUUAUCAAGCCAGAGGUGAAAGGCAGUGGCUCAACCAUUGUAAGCCUUUGGAACUGAUUAGCUUGAGUGCAGGAGAGGUAAGUGGAAUUCCUAGUGUAGAGGUGAAAUUCGUAGAUAUUAGGAGGAACACCAGUGGCGAAGGCGACUUACUGGACUGUAACUGACACUGAGGCACGAAAGCGUGGGUAGCGAACAGGAUUAGAUACCCCAGUAGUCGC